rnacentral:rRNA from 1 species
GCCGAUGGCGACCGGCGCACGGGUGAGUAACACGUAUCCAACCUGCCGUCUACUCUUGGACAGCCCUCUGAAAGGAAGAUUAAUACAAGAUGGCAUCAUGAGUCCACAUGUUCACAUGAUUAAAGGUAUUCCGGUAGACGAUGGGGAUGCGUUCCAUUAGAUAGUAGGCGGGGUAACGGCCCACCUAGUCUUCGAUGGAUAGGGGUUCUGAGAGGAAGGUCCCCCACAUUGGAACUGAGACACGGUCCAAACUCCUACGGGAGGCAGCAGUGAGGAAUAUUGGUCAAUGGGCGAGAGCCUGAACCAGCCAAGUAGCGUGAAGGAUGACUGCCCUAUGGGUUGUAAACUUCUUUUAUAAAGGAAUAAAGUCGGGUAUGCAUACCCGUUUGCAUGUACUUUAUGAAUAAGGAUCGGCUAACUCCGUGCCAGCAGCCGCGGUAAUACGGAGGAUCCGAGCGUUAUCCGGAUUUAUUGGGUUUAAAGGGAGCGUAGAUGGAUGUUUAAGUCAGUUGUGAAAGUUUGCGGCUCAACCGUAAAAUUGCAGUUGAUACUGGAUAUCUUGAGUGCAGUUGAGGCAGGCGGAAUUCGUGGUGUAGCGGUGAAAUGCUUAGAUAUCACGAAGAACUCCGAUUGCGAAGGCAGCCUGCUAAGCUGCAACUGACAU